rnacentral:rRNA from 1 species
GAUGAACGCUGGCGGCGUGCCUAAUACAUGCAAGUCGAGCGAACGGACGAGAAGCCUGCUUCUCUGAUGUUAGCGGCGGACGGGUGAGUAACACGUGGAUAACCUACCUAUAAGACUGGGAUAACUUCGGGAAACCGUAGCUAAUACCGGAUAAUAUUUUGAACCGCAUGGUUCAAAAGUGAAAGACGGUCUUGCUGUCACUUAUAGAUGGAUCCGCGCUGCAUUAGCUAGUUGGUAAGGUAACGGCUUACCAAGGCAACGAUGCAUAGCCGACCUGAGAGGGUGAUCGGCCACACUGGAACUGAGACACGGUCCAGACUCCUACGGGAGGCAGCAGUAGGGAAUCUUCCGCAAUGGGCGAAAGCCUGACGGAGCAACGCCGCGUGAGUGAUGAAGGUCUUCGGAUCGUAAAACUCUGUUAUUAGGGAAGAACAUAUGUGUAAGUAACUGUGCACAUCUUGACGGUACCUAAUCAGAAAGCCACGGCUAACUACGU